GACGUGGGGGGCCAGCGUUGCUCGGAAUUACUGGGUGUAAAGGGUUCGUAGGCGGUGUAGCAAGUCGGGAGUGAAAUCUCUGGGCUCAACCCAGAGACUGCUUCCGAAACUGCUGUGCUUGAGUGUGGGAGAGGCGCGUGGAAUUGCAGGUGUAGCGGUGAAAUGCGUAGAUAUCUGCAGGAACACCCGUGGCGAAGGCGGCUGACUGGAUCGCAACUGACACUGAGGAACGAAAGCUAGGGGAGCAAACAGG
rnacentral:rRNA from 1 species